rnacentral:tRNA from 1 species
UGAAUCUUAAGUUAUAUAAACUAUAAGCCUUCCAAGCUUAAAAAAAAUUAUUAGAUUUAA